CGGAGCGGUGGCCGAGUGGUCGAAGGCGCUCGCCUGGAAAGUGAGUAUACGUCAAAAGCGUAUCGAGGGUUCGAAUCCCUCCCGCUCCGCCAU
rnacentral:tRNA from 1 species